ACAUGCCUACAACUUACGUCAAUGCACCAGAUCCCAUUAGAACUUUGUAACUAAGUGCACUUGGGCUAGAGUAUUACUGGGAUGGGUGAUUGCAUGAGAAGUUCUAGUAUUUUACAUUUC
rnacentral:rRNA from 1 species